GUAAAACCAAGUAUAACAAAGGGGCUACUAGGGAUGACUAGGCAAUGGAUCGGAAUGAGGUCUAAUCCAAACUGUCGAAUCCGAUCAAGGGUAUGUUAAUCAACCCGGUCUCGACGAUCAAGGCCAAAAGGUGCCUCACUUACCUUGGGAACUGAAACAUCUUAUGUACCAAGAGGAAAGGAAAUCAACCGAGACUCUACAAGUAGUGGCGAGCGAACGUAGACAAGCUAUCUCUAUCAACUUAGACAACCUCUGUUUACGUUUAUGCGUAGCAGCAGGAAAAUGGUAGCCUUCGGACAAAGACAUAAACAAUAGCUUGGAAUAGCUAGCCACAGAUGGUGAUAGCCCAGUGAUGAUAUGACUUUGCUCCCUUUUGGCAGUGAAUUUAAUUCCUUAGAGAGAAUUGGCGGCUUGUCAAGCUGCUUUUAUAAUACCCUGUCUAUUAAGGCAGGAAAGGUGUACCAUCAUCAAAGCUAAGUAUGUUCCAUUGACCGAUAGUGCAGAGUACCGUGAGGGAAUGUUGAAAAAGCAGGUAGUAAACUGGUGAAAAGCCUGAACUAGUGGCUCCAUAAGCAGCUGGAAUCACAACAGCCAUUGACUCCAACUCAAUGUGUGAUGACAGCGUACCUUUUGUAUAAUGGGUCAGCAAGAUGAUGGUGGGUGCAUGGUAAUACACCCUAGCAAAAGCGACCUUAAUUAGCCGGUGAUAGUACCAACCAUCAGACCCGAACCCAGGUGAUCUUGCCAUGGCCAAGUGCUAUUUAAUAAGACUGAACGGGUGUCCGUUGCAAGGGACUCCGAAGAGCUGUGGCAAGGGGUGAAAAGCCAAUCUAACCUGGAGAUAGCUGGUCUUCUGCGAAACCCGUUUUAGCGGGUCGCCCAUUUAUUGAAAUUAAAUUCGUUACUAGACGGUACGGCACUGGAAGCCACGCAGCUUUUGCUGCAUAAUCGGGGGGCUGUCAUGGCUCUAUCGAUGGCUUCUAACCCCGGAAAUGUAUAGUAUACAAUGAUGGGCAAUCAGACGUAUCGUGAUAAGGCGAUUCGUCAAAAGGGCAACAGCCCAGAACAGGUGUGAAGGUCCCUAACAAGCUACUGAGUGAACACAAGGCAGUCCUCUCCAGUGUCUCUCCACAAAGUGGGCUUGGGAAGCAGCCACCUUUUAGCGAUAGCGUAACAGCUCAGUGGUCUGAGCCUCCCUGUAAAAAGGGAAUAUUGCCUGGUGAGGGCGCCAAAAAUGUAACGGGUCUAUAGUAGUUGUCUCUCUGUUCCAGCUUUGGAUAUGGAGGGAGUGGCAGUUUCUUCACUGUCUCACCGAAACCCUGUCCUAGAUGUAAAAUUCUAGGGGUAGCAGAAUACCCAGCAAAUGGAAUGAAGCUUGCUCAUUGAGCCGGUGGACAUAGCUGGGCUAAGAAUGCUGACAUGAGUAGCCUAAAAGGAGGGUAAUUCCCUCUUCGCCGAAAGCAGAAGGGUUUCAUUUGUAAGGUCUAUACCUAGAUGAUUAAAGCAGCGGCCUCUAAGGUUCAGAGUAACAAAUUAGUUCCGAUGAGUAACUCUUCUAUAGGGCAGUAACCUUCCUUAUAAGUUUACCUUCAAGUAAUUAGAGGUAUACUUCAAAGAGUAAGGUUCGGGAAAGAGCCCUACAGAAUCAAUCUUAAAACCGUACCCUAAACCGACACAGGUCUGCAAGUAGAGCAUACUAAGGCGUAGAGAUAAUCGUCUUGAAGGAACUCGGCAAAAUGACCCCGUAACUUCGGGAGAAGGGGUGCCACUAAUAAGUGGCGGCACUAAACAGGGGGGCGCGACUGUUUACUUAAAACACCGGACUCUGCUAACACUAGCGUGGAUGUAUAGAGUCUGAUACCUGCCCGAUGCUAGAUGAUCAACUAAGCCGUUUUAGGAUGGCAAAGGAAGCUCUAGUCAAUGGCGGCUGUAACCUUGACGGUCCUAAGGUAGCGAAAUUCCUUGGCAUUUAAAUGAUGUCCCGCAUGAAAGGUUUAACGAAGCUCCCACUGUCUCCAAGACGAGCUCGGCGAAAUUGAAUUAUCCGUGAAGAUGCGGAUUACCUCCAGCUAGACGAGAAGACCCUUUGAAGCUUGACUGCAACUAGUUAGUGUGUAACCGCUACUAAGGUACAAAGGGAGUCGACUAGACGAGAUACCUUGAUCUUUGUAGUAGGUUUCACUAUAAAUGCUGGCUAGUAGGCAGUUUGUCUGGGGCGGCAAUCCUCACCUAAAGUAACUGAGGAGUCCGAAGGUGUGCUUUGCUAGGUUGGAAACCUCUCUAUGGCUAUGGUGAGCCUAAAUAAGCGCAAUGGUAUAAGCAUGCUUGACUGUGAGACCUACAAGUCUAUCAGGUAAAACCCUUUCUAUUUACCCCUUCAUAUAUCAGGUCUCUCACGGCUAAAGUUAACCUUACCUUCUUUCUUAUUUCAUCACUUGUUAGCCUUGGUUCACAGUGCAGCGCACUUGUGGAACAAGUUUGUUUUGUUUAAAGUAGUAAAGGAAUGGAAGAAGGGGUAAUUAGGUAUAAAGGGUAUAGGUAACUAGGGCAUAGUGACCCGGUGAUACAUCAUGGAAUGUUCAUCGAUCAACGGAUAAAAGCUACUCAAGGGAUAACAGGCUGAUCCUCCACGAGAGUCCAUAUUGACUGGGGGGGUUGGCACCUCGUAUUAACGCACAAUCACACCAAACUUAGAAGUAAGUUAAAAGUCAUUUUAAAAUAACACAAAGCGAUGUCGGCUCAUCCUAUCCUAGAGCAGUAUAAGGUUCUAAGGGUUCGGCUGUUCGCCGAGUAAAAGGGUACGUGAGCUGGGUUAAGUACGACGCGAGUCAGUACGGCUUCUAUCUACUGGAGGGAGUUGGAAGUAAGGAGGAAGCUAUUUUUAGUACGCGAGGACUUAAAUGGAGUGACCUCUGGUUUACCAGUUAUCAACAGCUAAUAAAGCUAUGGUAUGGCUGGAAAGCUACGUCACGAAUAGAUAACUGCUGAAACCAUAUCAAGCAGGAAACUACUCCUCUAUACUUCCUUUGAAACUUAGGGUAGACCACCCUAUUGAUAGGGCCUGGGUGUAAUAGCAGUAAUGCUUUUAGCCUCGGGUUACUAAUUGUUAAGCAACUUGGUUUUAC
rnacentral:rRNA from 1 species